rnacentral:lncRNA from 1 species
AGGUUAUGUAAAAGAAACAUCUUGGAACAGCUACCAGCCACAGCUGGGAACUUAAGCUCCAACCUCAGGAGGGAGCAGAACAAGGUUAAUUCCAAUGGGAAUACAAAAGUUCAAACACAAGAUGAAAAUAGGGUAGGAGCUCGAUUUGCACAACACCUUUAAGACCCAGGGACUGCUUUUCUGGCUACACAUAUGCAUCCUUUGAUCCUCUGUUUCUUUGAGUUUUGGUGUUGCAAUUGUUUUAUUUGAUUUUGGUUAAACAGAAAAUGCUCUGAGAAGUGACAGGGUACCAACGGGCUGGGGGACAGCAGCACUAGCCUCUCAGUCUCACUCCAGAGAAGAGCAAGGAAGGGGGACAAGACAGUGGGAAAUAAUGAACAAAGCAGCUUGGACUCUGGAGCCCAAAAGUCAGCUGAGGGGCCAUGGGAACUGGUCGGACCUGCCAAUCACCUAAAGCAUUAGCCUGUGAAAAGACUGUGCCCACCCAGCCCAGGCCUCUGGAUUGCACAGGACAAGCCCCUGUCCCAAAAUACAGCACAGAAACAAACUGUGAGCAUACCUCAGCUUUACUGCUGAGCAUAUAAACCACUUUAGAGAAAAACAGUGGUAUUUUGUAUAAGAAAUUGGCAAGACCCACGGUGUUGACAAUGUGCUGAGAGUUCAUGUUUGACCUCACCAACUCUCAACCUAUUUGAGUUUCCAGCCCCUCUGAAGCUUGAUGACUACACAUCAGUAAGACUUCUGAUUAUGGAAACAUUUUCUCUACUGUGUCCUCCAACUGUCACUUGAACUGACUGGUAAAAUUUUAGCAGACAAUAGUGAGACUGUCAACGAAAACAGUAACUCUUUUAGUGAUUCCAGAGAGAUCUCUGGAUUUACUUGGAUGUCAAGAGUUCAGGCAUGGUGGAGGGGUACUGAGGAAGAAUGGCAACAAUUCGAGCAAGACAUAUUAUCGGAAAGAAAUUGUCCUUUCUGGAAGAAAAGAAGUAUCUCUGGGUUACCAAGCAACGGCUUCAGGCAAAUCACCUCAGAUCUGCUCUCCAUUCCCCCAGGGUUGUGGGGGUCCGAAGCACAAGCAGAUGUCUGGAGGGAGCUAUUACUCACAUCCUCCCCUUCUUAAUUUCCCCUUCUUAAUUUCGCUCGGUGGCAGUAGCAGCAGUCACAGACCAAUCUCUAUCACUUCAGGAAAGAAGGGGGCAGAAACAGCCACCCUCCUCCUAACUUUGGACAGAGCUUACUCCAGAAGACAGUCUUGGAGUAGAACACCAUGGACCAAGUACUUGCCGAGCAUGCCCACUGCCCUCGAUUGUACAUGUGCAAAUACUUUCUUUGCCUAUUCAGAAAUUAGCAGAAACUGUUGAAUAAAGGGAUAAAGGAGGUGAGAAUACUGGUCCUUUAUCAGAGAAUGAAAUAAGCAAAAAGACAAAAUCAGAAAAGUAGAAAAGCAGAAAAUGACUGUGUUCCUUUGUUCUUGCCUCUUUUUUCCCCCCAAAAAGGGAGGAUGCACCACUCUCUCCAUUUUCUAAGAAAAGAAGUAAAAACUGAGCGGAUAACUCAUGUGCCUUCUAAGGAUAGUGCCAGCAAGAAUAGAACGCAGACCUCUUUCUCUGAAAUUUUGAUUUGCAUGAAUUCCUCAUCUUCACCUUGAGAAAGGUUCUCUUUCCCAUCUAAGCCUCAGAAUGCGUAGAGCAGCUUCUGAAGAUCAGCAGGCCUGUGCAGCAUCAUCUGAGGGUCCCCAGAAUUAAAGCAACAUGAAACCCUUCAUACUGAGUGUGGCCACUUCCCACUGACCAUGACUCACAAAUGGUGAGGCCACCUGACAGCGUUGAAGAUAAUUACUAUUCAUCCUCUUCUGCUAAUAGAAACUAUUUUCUCCCCUAAUCUAGGUUUCCAAUUUUAGAAGCUGCCCUGUCCUCAUAAAAGAAUUACCAGGAAGGUAGGAGGUUUGUUUGUUUGCUUUUCUGUGCAUCUAAGUACCCUGACAAUCUAAUCUCUGGAGAGUCUCAGUAACCAGGCAACACAAGUCAUGCUCCAAUUGUGCGGUCCUCAAUCCACUUUUCCUGUGCUAUUCCAGUUCAAAGUAAGAAUACCAAAGCCAGAACUGCAGAAGAUAAAUGUGGAUCUUUAUUACUACAAGCAGAUAACGGGGUCUGCCCCCUCUUCUUAUUGCUGAGUAGAAAUUCUGAGGCAAGUGCUUUUAAAAAGACUAGAACAGCACAUUUUACCUAAGAAUAAGAUUAUAGCUAGUAACCUGUUUUUCUUACAAAAAAAGAAAAUGGAAGGAGAUAGCUUUUGUCUGGUGACAGUUUAUUUUAACCCAGAUGCUUCCUCCACUUGUAAUUUGGCCUCAUUUGUGUUUUCAGAAACAUCACCAAUUCAGACGGGUUUCUUGGGUAAGGACUUAAUGGACAAGGUUAAACACAGCUGUUCUGGUGCCUGAAAUCCUUAAGAGUCUAGCAGGACCGGAGCAAGUAAAAUAAACUCAGAAAGAGCUGUCUGGAUCAGUGUUUCUAGAGACAAAAUGAGUAUAAAUGAGCAUGGAGUCAACAGGCCUCCUGGGUCAAGGUCAGAGGCAACCUGGGGACACGGAUUAACAGCGGAAGAACACUGCCUAUAGUACAUUUGCUAUGAGACAGCACAGAAUUGGACAUUCUGGCCUUUAAUCAUCAGGCUAUCACAAGGAAAAGUGGUCCAGAUUUAGUACUGUGUCAGCACUUUUUAUAAUAAAUGCUUCAUUUACUAGGAAUUUAGCUAUCGAGUUGCAGAUGAUAAAAAUGACACUCAAAUGCAAGGUCAAACAGCAAACAUUUAUAAUUCCUGUCUAUUAGCUAAAUACACAGUCCUAAUUAUCCAGGUGAAAGGGGUAAUUGUUUUCCCAAACAGUGCCUCAAUCUCCAGUGAUUUACAAAGCACUUUUACACACAUCAUCUCGUCACAGUGGUGUGUAUGCCCUUGUUACACAGAUGGAUUGAACUGGAAAUUGUUUCAUUUGCCAGUUUUAAGUAUCUUCCUUUUCCCUGUGGGUGGUUUCUGUAAGGCCUGAUGGACAUAUUAUCAUCUGGAUCUUCCAGGCAAUGACACCUCUAAAGAGGCCGAUGAACUAGAACUAUCAGUUCUAACACCUUAGGCAAGAAUCCCUCAAUCUCUCUGGGUUUCAGCUUCUUCAUGUGUAUACUGUAGAUAUGUUGUCAAAAUUGUGCUAAUCUUCACCAACUAAUAAGAAAUGAUAAGAAUGAGAUUUUGUGGAUAUGGGACUUUAAUAUACAGUGAGAGGAAUAUAAAUCAGCAUGACUUUUUGCUGGUGUUAUGUAAUAAAAUGUAAAACGUACAUACCAUUUCAUGCAGAAAAUUUAUAUCCAAGAAUCUAUCCCAAUGAGGUAGUUACAUAAAUAUGCAAGUAUACACAAGAUGUUCAUCACAAUUAGAAACAACCAAAAUGUCCACCAACAUGAGACUAGUUCAAAAAGAUACGAGGUAUUCAUACAAGAGACUUUAUGCAUCCACUGAAAAGAAUCAUGUAAUUCAUAUUGGUUGACUCAAAUAGAAGCUCCAUCACAUAUUUUCAAGACAAAAGGAAUUACAAAGCAGUAUGGUUGAUAUAAUCCCAUUUAUGUGCAAAUCAAAUAAAUUCCAGAUUUCACUGUGGUUCAAUUCAGCCCAGUGUCACAUUCACAGAAACAACCCAGCAACAAAAAGGCAUUACAGAGUAAUUUCAGCCUUGGCUCUCCAUUUUCAGAAAACAUUAAAGAACCUACAAUUCCUAACCCACAGCACCACAUCUUAAAAUAGUCUCUGUAUCCCACCUUUUUCAUCUUGUUCUCUAAUUCUCACACUGUAAUAGCUCCUGAAGGCUUUCUCCUCCCCAAUAUGCUUUUCUACUCUCAACCAAAGACAUCACAAUGAUACUCAAACAGAUCAGCCACUUCUCUUUUGUCCCUCUUCCUUCUUCCUUUGUUUUUUUUCUUCACUGAUUACCAUACUCCGAAAAAUAAGGUGGAGAAAGAAGAAAAUGCUAAGUGGACAAAAUUUCCUUUCCAGAGAGUAGGAGAAAAAGAGAUUGACUAUGCAUAUACUACAAUGUCUUAACCUUGUAGCAAGCGCAAAAUUAUUUAAGUGAUAUCUACUGCAUAUAUGCCUAGAAGUGUCUGCAAGGAUGUUGACAAAAUUCUUAAGAAUAAUUAUCUCAGUUGGGAUUUCCCUGUGAACUUUGCUUUUAAUUUUAUAUCUCUCCUUAUACCUCUUUGAGUAACUCAUGAUGAACAUGUUUUGUUUGUGAUCAAAACCACGAAAUAAACUCAUGUCAACAUGUAAAAAAAGAGGUUGUAAUGAUGCUCACAAGAAACAAUAGACAUGAAAAAAUACACAAUUUAAGUACAAAGUAUAAGCAUUUUAAAUAAAUACGAUUGGACUGUCUCUUCCAGUUUCCAACAUUAAUAAGCUCCAUUAUUUUGGAAUUAUUUUAAUUACUCCUACAUGUUAGAGUUGGUUAAUUUCUGAACAACAGUCAGAUACUCCCCUGUGUUGCUUAAUUUGUUGUUUUAUUAUCAGUCAGCCCUGUUUAAUUUGUGAGUCCACUGGGUUAUGACUUGUACAGCAU